AUGAGGCACAAAGGUCUGGUCCAUCAGGACUGGAAGGAGGUGAGAAAAUGGCCCUGACACUCCUUGUCUGAAGACACUGUGAAUAGAGUCUUUGCCCACAGUAUCCAGCCCUCCUGUGCAAGCAGGCUCCCGGCCAGACGCUCUUGAAAGCAGAUACCAAUUCGUGGGGACUCUCUUUCCUAAAUCCCUCAUCCUUCCCUCGUCUCAGGGAUCUGCCAGCACUUUCCUUCCGGACCUCAGCAUCUCAGCUGGGCACCACAGUAGUCCCGCAGCUGUUUUCAUGGAAUCCGUUUCUCCUACUCUCAAUCUGUCCUCUACGGAAUCAUCAGAAAGCCCUUUCUGAAACCACCUGGGACACAUCACUCCAUCCUUAAAGCACCUCAAGGACACAUUUUGCUAACGGAUGCACAAAAUAAAUGGAGAUGAACCACAGAUGUUCCCAGAUACAGUUCAGCGCCCCGGCAGUUGGAAGGCGUGAUGCUGAAUGCAGUUCCCGGUGAAGGAGCUGGGUGGUCCUACCUUCCCCGCUGGGGAAGAGUGCUGUCUCUGAAAUGGCUCACGGCAGAGCAUACCUUGAAAGCUGUCACUUUCUGCCUUUUUGUUGUGGUUGCUGUUGCCGUUUUCGUAAAAGCGAAAGCCUUUUAAGAUUUCUUUCAGUUAGUAAACACAGGUAGGUCUUUCGUAAAUAACGUAAACUUUCACAAAGCUGGGGAUACCUGUAUAUUUAAAAGGAGAAGAAAAGACAUGAUAUUAAGAAACGCCCAAAAUAAAUGUAAAGGUGAACGUAAGACCUGCAAAUACAAGGCAGGGAAAAGAAACUCUUUCUCCAAUUGAGAACAAUCUAAGCGAAGUCCUUUAAUUAUUGCCAUCUGGAGUGAAGGUGAGCGCCAUUUGGCUUGGAGCUCAUUCGUUCGCCAUCCCGCCUGGCUUGAGCUGCCUUCCACAGUCCUAUGUCCAGACUCCUUCGAGUAAUUUAGUAAAUGUGCCCGGUACAUCACGGGCUCUCGGUCUAGCUCAAAAUGGAGUUCGAGGUAGGGAGGUUGGGAAAUUAUCCCACUUUAUAGAUAAGGAGACAGGCUGGGUAUGAGUCCAACAACUUGCCCAAGGCCACGAAGCUCAAAGUCACAGAGUCAGGGCUAGAAUUCGAAUCAGGGUCUAAAUUCCAUACCGUAAGCUGCCCUCAUCUUCUGGGUGCCUUUUGCCUUUCUCCUGAUUCAUUCCCAGAAAGCUUCCUCCCCUGCAAGGGACCGAGAGUUCAUGCGCCCUAAUGUAGAGUGAUACGACAUCCAGGAAAAGGAAAACAAAGCAAAAACAUGGAGUGAGGAAAGAGGACAGCACCUUUGACGGUUGGCUGUGGUUGAGUUUUCAAGAGUAAAGAAUACACAGAGGGAAGCCUUUGGCCUGGACUGUGACAAGACCCAACAUUGGAGUUUGCCUGGUCUCCUCCGAAAAGGCAAUGGGUGUCUGUCUCCUUAGGAGAUGCAAAGACCUGUCUCACUGGCUCCUCCCAGAGGUAGAUUUAUAACCAGGUGCAGAGCAAGCAUUUUGGGGACACUGUUACUCGGUUAGCAGCAGUUUUAUGGAAUCCUGUGACAGUGAGGUAUCCUUAAGCCCACGGAUGGUGAAACCAGCAGAAGCAUGAUGGGCAGGAAAGACGAUUUUGUAUCCAGGAGAUGUGUCUGUUCUACAGGAGACACAUCUUCCCCCAACCACGACUGGAAGGUCCAAUGUAAUCAAUCUGCCACCAGGUGGCUGGCUGAACCAUCGGAGAAGGUGCCAUCCUGGAGGCUGAGCGUUAGUCCCCUCUGUUUGCGGGUCAGGCAAAGUGCAGUAGUGUUGGCAAUGGUCUCCCCCAGAAUAUUAACAGAGGGUACUUCUGGGCCACCAGACGACAAAUCAUGCUUGCUGCCUUUUUGCUCCUUGAUAUGUCAUACUUUCUCUACAACGACUAGGCAUUUCUUGUGCAACAAAUAAUAGAAGUAAAUUUAAAUGUGGUCUAAAACAGGGGCGCCUGGGUGGCUCAGUCAGUUAAGGAUCUGACUCUCGGUUUGGGCUCAAGUGAUGCUCUCGGUUCAUGGGAUCGAGCCCCGCUUGGGGCUCUGUGC